rnacentral:rRNA from 1 species
CGAGAAGACCCCAUUGAGCUUUACUAUUAACUUGUAUUGUCAGAGCAAAGGGGAGGGGGACCCUACGGGUCUAGGGAAUACCCCGGAUCCGUUUUGCCCCCUGUCCCUAGCUUCAUAAUAAAAUUGUGGAGACUAUGUGGCAAAAGAAAAACAAGGGAUUUAAAAGAACGGGGGGGGGGAGGACCCUUAGGGGUCCCCCCCCCGGGACCCGAAGGGUCCGCCACGCCCCGUCCCGAUUUAUAUGAAAAACCACUCUUUUUAUUAAGAUUACUGUCUAACACCGUACAAGUAAGAUAGUUUGGUUGGGGCGACCGCCUUCGAAAAAGUAUCGAAGGCGCACAUAAGAUUAAUCAGGAGAAGGAUCCGAAGGAUCUUUUUCUCGGGAGUAAUGUCCCAAAAAAGGAGAUUAAUUUGACUGAGAGGGCAACAACCCGAACAGACGUCAAAGGAUAGACCGGGGGGGGAAUCCUACAGAUUCCUUCCCCCCCUUCUUUUGGCGGGUCAUAGUGAU